AAGGAGUCUAACAUGUCUGCGAGUGUUUGGGUGGUAAACCCGAGCGCGGAAUGAAAGUGAUAGCUGGGAAUCUUGCAAAAGAGGCACCGGCGCCCCGAGCUGAUCUUCUGUGACGCAUCGGAGGUAGAGCAUAUAUGUUGGGACCCGAAAGAUGGUGAACUAUGCCUGAAUAGGGCGAAGCCAGAGGAAACUCUGGUGGAGGCUCGUAGCGAUUCUGACGUGCAAAUCGAUCGUCAAAUUUGGGUAUAGGGGCGAAAGACUAAUCGAACCAUCUAGUAGCUGGUUCCUGC
rnacentral:misc_RNA from 1 species